rnacentral:rRNA from 1 species
GAUGAACGCUAGCGGCAGGCUUAACACAUGCAAGUCGAGCGGGGACUUCGGUCCUAGCGGCGAACGGGUGAGGAAUGCUUGGGAAUCUGCCCAGUAGUGGGGGAUAACGUUUCGAAAGGAACGCUAAUACCGCAUACGUCCUACGGGAGAAAGGGGGGGAUCUUCGGACCUCUCGCUAUUGGAUGAGCCCAAGUCGGAUUAGCUAGUUGGUGAGGUAAAGGCUCACCAAGGCGACGAUCCGUAGCUGGUCUGAGAGGAUGAUCAGCCACACUGGAACUGAGACACGGUCCAGACUCCUACGGGAGGCAGCAGUGGGGAAUAUUGGACAAUGGGCGAAAGCCUGAUCCAGCCAUGCCGCGUGUGUGAAGAAGGCCUUCGGGUUGUAAAGCACUUUAAGCGAGGAGGAAUGGCUCUUGGUUAAUAACCUUGAGCAGUGACGUUACUCGCAGAAUAAGCACCGGCUAACUCUGUGCCAGCCGCCGCAGUAAGAC